rnacentral:rRNA from 1 species
GAUGAACGCUGGCGGCGUGCCUAAUACAUGCAAGUCGAACGCUGAAGGAAGGAGUUUGUUCUUUCCGGAUGAGUUGCGAACGGGUGAGUAACGCGGAGGUAACCUGCCUGGUAUCGGGGGAUGACUAUUGGAAACGAUAGCUAAUACCGCAUAACAGUAGAUGUUGUAUGGUACCUACUUAAAAGGUGCAAUUGCACCACUACCAGAUGGACCUGCGUUGUAUUAGCUAGUUGGUGGGGUAACGGCUCACCCAGGCGACGAUACAUAGCCGACCUGAGAGGGGGGUCGGCCACACUGGGAGGUGGACACGGCCCAGAGUACUGCGGGAGGCAGCAGAAGGGAACCUGAGGCAAUGGACGGAAGUCUGACCGAGCAACGACGCGUGAGUGAAGGAGGCUCCCGGAUCGGGAAGCUCUGUUGUGAGUGAAGAACGAGUGUCAGAAUGGAAAGUUCACACUGUGACGGUACCUGAAGAGAAAGGGACGGCUAACUACGUG